AUAUAAUAAAAUUAUCAAAAAUUGAAAAAUAAGAUAAUUUUUAUAUAUAUUUUGUUGCUAUCUGAAAACAAUAUUUUUAUUAUAAAAGUUAAGAAGAUACAAAAAAUUAUAGUUAAAUAUUAUUCAAGAAAAAAACAUUUAUAUAAAGAUAUUUUCUAAACUAUUUCUAAGAUAUGAGUGUUUUAAAAAAUUUAACACAGGAUGUUUAGAACACGGGAUUAUGCUUAUGAGAGAGUGGCUCGGGAAUAGGCUUCGAAAUGGGUCGAAUGGGCUCCGAAAAUAGCUUAUUUUUUUUUAACUCAAACUCAAGUCCGGAUGACAUGGCAUCUUGAUUGGUUCACAAUAUUUUGCCUAUGUGGCAAGGCUUAGAAAGUAGGGAUUUAGUCCCUUUUAUAUAGUAGGAUUUUUUAUUAUAUAAUAUCCAAGUAUGAAACUGAAAGUUUUUCCCUUUUUCAGCACUCCAACUGGCACAGAGACACCGAAUGCAAUUGAAGAGAAAGGAAUCCGAUAGGGCUCUAUAUCAAAAGCAUUGGGAGGGAGAAGAUCAAGUUUCUGUUUCAGAAGCAGAUGAGUCUUGGACGCAAAGCAAACCAGGUACUUAAGAAUUGCUUCUGGAACAGUGUUGGGAACCACACACAUACGUUAUUAAAACUGGCACUCAAGACAAGCCGGGAGCGAAAAGGGUAAGCAAUCUAUGUCGGACUUACCAAACAUUUGUUUACUAAAGGAAUUGGUUGAUUUGCUGAGAGGGGCAAAAGACAGAUGGAUAUCAGUUUACUGGAGGCCAUGGAGAAUGUUUUACCUGCCAAUAUGAGGAGGCAAGAGAAGAGGAGAGAAACUCGAAGAAAAGGAAGCGUGAUGAGGAAGGGAAGAAAAAGAAAGAUUUCAAGUUUUUUUCUUCUUUUUUUUGCUAAUAAGAUUUCAAGUUUUGAGGAAAGCUUCUUAUUUAUCUAUGAAUUCUAGAUUCUGGACGUGUCCUGAGAAUGUGUUUUGCUUUAUUUAACACACUGAGAAAGAGAGAGAGUGAGAUUGAGGUAGAAAAUAAAAAAACCUACAGGCUAUGGUCCUAUGGAUUCUUGAUA